GUGGGGAAUAUUGGACAAUGGGCGCAAGCCUGAUCCAGCCAUGCCGCGUGAGUGAUGAAGGCCUUAGGGUUGUAAAGCUCUUUCAGUGGGGACGAUAAUGACGGUACCCACAGAAGAAGCCCCGGCUAACUUCGUGUCAGCAGCCGCGGUAAUACGAAGGGGGCUAGCGUUGUUCGGAUUUACUGGGCGUAAAGCGCACGUAGGCGGAUCGUUAAGUCGGGGGUGAAAUCCUGGAGCUCAACUCCAGAACUGCCUUCGAUACUGGCGAUCUUGAGUCCGGAAGAGGUGAGUGGAACUCCUAGUGUAGAGGUGGAAUUCGUAGAUAUUAGGAAGAACACCAGUGGCGAAGGCGGCUCACUGGUCCGGUACUGACGCUGAGGUGCGAAAGCGUGGGGAGCAAACAGGAUUAGAUACCCCAGUAGUCC
rnacentral:rRNA from 1 species